rnacentral:tRNA from 1 species
GCUCUACCACCUGAGUUGGUAGAGCAUGAGACUCUUAAUCUCAGGACUGUGGGUUCGAGCCCCAUGUUGGGCG